rnacentral:lncRNA from 1 species
GCACCCAGUAGUGGUCAUGGGCACCCAGUGGAGGUGUUGGGCACCCAACGGUGUUGAAGGGCUCCCAAUGGUGUGUGUGGGCAACCAACAGCAUUGAUGGGCAACCAACGGGGGUCGUUGGUAGCAAAUGGUGGUGAGCACCCAAUGGGGGUGAUGGGUGCUCUUUGGAGGUGAUGGACACCCAACGGAGGUGGUGGGCACCCAACAGAGGUGUUGGGCACCCAAUGAAGAUGAUGGGCACUCAACGGUGUUGAAGGGCACCCAAUGGUGCUGGUGGGCACCCAAUAGUGGUCGUGGGCAUCCAACGGUGUUGAAGGGCACCCAGCAGAGGUGUUGGGCACCCAACGGAGGUGAUUGGCACCCAAUGGGGUUGAUGGGCACCCAAUGGUGUUGAUGGGCACCCAGCAGCAACCAGUGGAGGUCGUUGGUAUCAAAUGGUGGUGGGCACCCAAUGGAGGUGAUGGGUGCUCUUUGGAGGUGAUGGGCACCCAAUGGUGUUGAUGGGCACCCAAUGGAGGUGAUGGGCACCCAACGGAGGUGGUAGGCACCCAGUAGUGUUGAUGGGCACCCAGUAGUGGUCAUGGGCACCCAGUGCAGGUGAUGGGCACCCAACAGAGGUGUUGGGCACCCGAUGGAGGAGACGGGCACCCAACGGUGUUGAAGGACACCCAACAGUGUUGAUGGGCAACCAGUGGAGGUCGUUGGUAUCAAAUGGUGGUGGGCACCCAGUGGGGGCAAUGGGUGCUCUUUGGAGGUGAUGGGCACCCAACAGAGGUGUUGGGCACCCAACGGAGGUGAUGGGCACCCAAUGGAUGUGAUGGACACCCAAUGGUGUUGAAGGGCACCCAAGAGCAUUGAUGAGCACCCGUCAGAGGUCAUUGGUGUCAAAUUGUGAUGGGCACCCAGUGGAGGUGAUGGGCACCCAGUGGUGUUGAUGGGCACCCAAUGGUGUUGAUGGAAUCCAACUGAGAUGAUGGGCACUUAAUGGUGUUGUUGGGUACUCUGCGGUAUUGAUGGGCACCCAAUGGUGUUGAUGGGCACCCAAGGGAGCUCAUUGGCCUGAAAUGGUGAUGGGGCACCCAACAUUGUUGAUCUGCACCCAAAGGUGUUGGUGGGCACCCAAUGAUGUUGAUGGGCACCCAAGGGAGCUCAUUGACCUCAAAUGGUGAUGGGGCACCUAGCG